GUACUAGCUACGGUGGUACAUAUUCUAGAAUGGGAAUGAUACAGGGAUGAUUAGCAUGGCCCUUGCGCAAAGAUGACAUGCAAAUUCAUGAAGCAUUCCAUAUUUUU
rnacentral:snRNA from 1 species